GGCCUCAUCGUCUAAGAAGGUUAGGACAUAACAACUUCACUGUUAAAAUGUUGGUUCAAUUCCAACUUGGGCUA
rfam:Pneumocystis murina mitochondrion, complete genome.